rnacentral:rRNA from 1 species
AAAUUGAAGAGUUUGAUCAUGGCUCAGAUUGAACGCUGGCGGCAGGCCUAACACAUGCAAGUCGAACGGUAACAGGAAGAAGCUUGCUUCUUUGCUGACGAGUGGCGGACGGGUGAGUAAUGUCUGGGAAAUUGCCUGAUGGAGGGGGAUAACUACUGGAAACGGUAGCUAAUACCGCAUAACGUCGCAAGACCAAAGAGGGGGACCUUCGGGCCUCUUGCCAUC